rnacentral:rRNA from 1 species
AUUGAACGCUGGCGGCAGGCCUAACACAUGCAAGUCGAACGAGUGGCGGACGGGUGAGUAAUGUCUGGGAACCUGCCCGAUGGCGGGGGAUAACUACUGGAAACGGUAGCUAAUACCGCCUACCUUCGGAUGUGCCCAGAUGGGAUUAGCUAGUAGGUAGGGUAACGGCUCACCUAGACGAAGAUCCCUAGCUGGUCUGAGAGGAUGACCGGCCACACUGGAACUGAGACACGGUCCAGACUCCUACGGGAGGCAGCAGUGGGGAAUAUUGCACAAGGGGCGAAAGCCUGAUGCAGCCAUGCCGCGUGUAUGAAGAAGGCCUUCGGGUUGUAAAGUACUUUCAGCGAGGAGGCGUUACUCACAGAAGAAGCACCGGCUAACUCCGUGCCAGCAGCCGCGGUAAUUC